GGCUAAAGUUAGCAAUUUAAAUAAGGGAACAUUCUUCAUCUAAAGUCUCAACAGGAUUAGCAUCUAUUUUAUUCACUUGAAAAAACAAUUGGCGACAGAAGUUUAACCAAGCAUCCCUCUCCAGCGUCGAUCCUCAUCCUCAACCAGUUAAAAAUGGCCAAACCUCCCACCACCUCAAUGGCACAACCCAAUAACCCCACAUUCUUGCUCUCUUUCAACGUUGAUUGAAAAAAUAUUCGUACUUUGGAUCAGCGCCCAGCAACUCGGUAGCUCUAUAAUUCGUGAUGCCAAACUCACAUCUAUCAAAUUCCAUCAAAC
rnacentral:misc_RNA from 1 species